CCCUUAGACGUUCUGGGCCGCACGCGCGCUACACUGACGAAGGCAACGAGCUUUCCUUUACCGAAAGGUACGGGUAAUCUUUUGAAACUUCGUCGUGCUGGGGAUAGAUCCUUGCAAUUUUUGAUCUUAAACGAGGAAUUCCUAGUAAGCGCAAGUCAUCAACUUGCGUUGAUUACGUCCCUGCCCUUUGUACGCACCGCCCGUCGCUACUACCGAUUGAAUGGUUUAGUGAGGCCUUCGGAUCCGCGACUCGUUUUGUGGAGAAGUUGGACAAACUCAGUCAUUUAGAGGAAGUAAAAGUCGUAACA
rnacentral:rRNA from 1 species